rnacentral:sRNA from 1 species
UUAGGUAAAAAUGCAAGCAUGAACACACAACAUGGACCAGCAACAGAAGUUGCUGUAGAGACAACCACACCCAAACAAGGACAGAACCUAUGGUUUUUAUGUGAUAGUCAAAAGGAGCUGGAUGAAUUGCUAAACUGUCUUCACCCUCAGGGAAUAAGAGAAAGUCAACUUAAAGAGAGACUAGAGAAGAGGUACCAGGACAUUAUUCACUCUAUUCAUCUAGCACGGAAGCCAAAUUUGGGUCUAAAAUCCUGUGAUGGCAACCAGGAGCUUUUAAACUUCCUUCGUAGCGAUCUCAUUGAAGUUGCAACAAGGUUACAAAAAGGAGGACUUGGAUAUGUGGAAGAAACAUCAGAAUUUGAAGCCCGGGUAAGAAUAUAAGAAAAUCCCCCUUAGAUUACUCAUGGAAACUCAAUCUGAAGUUGUUCCCUGAUGCUGUUCUUGACUUCCCAACAUGACCCUCCUGGAAAUCAGAUGUUUGGAUUUGUCUUGGAAGACAUGUAUGGAACCAAAAAUACCUUAUGUAUAUGUAUUUUUUCCUUGUUAUCUUUUGCUGCUAUCCAGAAAAACUUAAUAAUUGGCUUACAACCUUGGUAUGAAAAGAGCUUCGCUACUAAGGUGAAUGAAAACUGGUUGUAGAGGCUCCAGUCAUACAGCAUCAUUUAACAUCUUUCCCUUGUGAUGCCUGUGCUUUCAGGUGUGAAACAUGCUUGUGUAUCCUGCACUUGCCCAUUCUUCACAAUCAGCUCAGAUUUCUAUUUAUGUUGGGCAUCACUCAUGUUGUCCAGUGGGCUGUCAUUACAGUCCUGUCCUUUAUUGCUCA